AGCGAACGCUGGCGGCAGGCCUAAUACAUGCAAGUCGAACGGCUCUUCGGAGCAGUGGCGGACGGGUGAGUAACGCGUGGGAACGUGCCCUUUGGUUCGGAACAACACAGGGAAACUUGUGCUAAUACCGAAUGUGCCCUUCGGGGGAAAGAUUUAUCGCCAUUGGAGCGGCCCGCGUUGGAUUAGGUAGUCGGUGGGGUAAAGGCCUACCAAGCCUACGAUCCAUAGCUGGUCUGAGAGGAUGAUCAGCCACACUGGGACUGAGACACGGCCCAGACUCCUACGGGAGGCAGCAGUAGGGAAUCUUGCGCAAUGGGCGAAAGCCUGACGCAGCCAUGCCGCGUGAAUGAUGAAGGUCUUAGGAUUGUAAAAUUCUUUCACCGGGGAAGAUAAUGACGGUACCCGGAGAAGAAGCCCCGGCUAACUUCGUGCCAGCAGCCGCGGUAACAC
rnacentral:rRNA from 1 species